UUAAUUUAAAAAAUAUAAAAUGACACAUGUCAUUUCUUGUGUAAUGACGUGUCAUUCAUAUGGAGAGAGUUGGUCAACUUUUAUAUAUAUGAUUUUUCUAUUAUAUAUUAC
rnacentral:sRNA from 1 species